CCUACGGGAGGCAGCAGUGGGGAAUAUUGCGCAAUGGGCGAAAGCCUGACGCAGCGACGCCGCGUGAGGGAUGAAGGUCUUCGGAUCGUAAACCUCUGUCAGCAGGGAAGAACGGUCACUGUGCUAAUCAGCAGUGAAUUGACGGUACCUGCAAAGGAAGCACCGGCUUACUCCGUGCCAGCAGCCGCGGUAAUACGGAGGGUGCGAGCGUUAAUCGGAAUUACGGGGCGUAAAGCGCUCGUAGGCGGUAUGUCAAGUCAAGUGUGAAAUCCCCGCGCUUAACGUGGGAACUGCCUUUGAAACGGGCAAACUGGAGUGUGUGAGAGGAUGGUGGAAUUCCAGGUGUAGGAGUGAAAUCCGUAGAUAUCUGGAGGAACAUCAGUGGCGAAGGCGACCAUCUGGCACAUAACUGACGCUGAGGAGCGAAAGCGUGGGUAGCAAACAGGAUUAGAUACCCCAGUAGUC
rnacentral:rRNA from 1 species